rnacentral:lncRNA from 1 species
UAAGGGUUAUGCUUGGUUUUGUAAGAAACCCCUAAACUGCCUUCCAGAGUGGCUGUUCCGUUUUGCCUUGCCACCCAUACUGAAUGAGUGUCUCCAAUGCUCCACAUGCUUGUCAGCAAUUGCUGUUGUUAGUGUUCCAUAUUUUUGACUAUUCUAACAGGUGUGUAGUGGUAUCUCAUUGUUGUUCAAUUUGCAUUUCCCUGGAGCCAUAUGAUGUGGAGCAUCGUCUCGUACUCUUAGUUGCCAUUUUUAUGUCUUCUUUGGCCAGAUGUCUGUUAAGUUGUUUGCCCCAUUUUUUAAUCUGGUUGUGUGUGUUCUUGUUGUUUAGUUUUAAGAUUUCUUUGCGUAUUUGUAUAUUUGUUAUUCCUUUAUCAACUGUGCCUUUUGCAAAUGUUUUCUCCCAGUCUGUGGCUUGUGUUUUUAUCCCUUGACAUUGUGUCUUGUGGAGCAGCAGUUUAAAAUGUUAAUGAAGUCCAGCUUAUCAGUUAUUCCUUUCAUGAUCUUGAUUUUGCUGUCACAUCUAGAAAGUCAUGUUUCUAAAGAGGUCAUCUCGGUUUUCUUCCGUGUUAUUGUCUUCUAGGAAUUCUAGAGUUUUGCUUUUUACAUGUGGGUCUAUAAUGCAUUUUGAUUUCCGUUUUGUAAAGGUGUAAAGGUCCAUGUGCACGUUCAUUGUCUCGCACGUGGAUGUCCAGUUCUUCCAGCACCAUUCGUUGAUAAGACUGUCUUUGCUCCAUUGUAUGGUCUGUGCUCCUUUGUCAAAGAACGGUGGAGUAUGUUAACGGGCAUCUAUUUCUAGGCUCUCUGUUCUGCUCCUUUGGUCCAUUUGUCUGUUCUUUCGCCAGUACCACACUGUCUUGAUUGCUGUUACUGUUAUAGUGAAUUUUGACAUUGGCUCAUGUCAGUCCUUCAACUUUUUUCUUCUUUGAUAUUAUGUUGACUUUUAAAAAGCUGUUGCAGUUGCGAUACGGUCAGAGAAAAUCUAUAUGAUAUUGCUCCCGUGCACGUUUUUAAUGCUUUGUUUAUGUCCAAAUAUGUUGUCUGUUUUCAUAAAUGUCACUUGUGUGCUCUCAAACAAGAUGUGUUCUGUUUGCUCUAGAGAGAGAUCGUGUCAGUCUGUUCUUAUUUUCUUUGCUCUUUUUGGAAGCUUUUAGAAUUUUCUCUUCAUUUCCAUGGAUCCUUUACAGAUAAUUUUUUACUUCCUUCUUUAACUUUGUGAAAUUUAUCUUCAUUAGUUUUUGAAUAUUACCUCUUCUCUGUUUUCUUUUUUUUUCAUCUUAGAUGUCUUGGAUUUCAUUUAUUUCAGAUGUUAGAUGUCUUUUUUUACCCACCAUAUCA